AGUGAACGCUGGCGGUAGGCCUAACACAUGCAAGUCGAACGGCAGCACAGUAAGAGCUUGCUCUUACGGGUGGCGAGUGGCGGACGGGUGAGGAAUACAUCGGAAUCUACUUUUUCGUGGGUGAUAACGUAGGGAAACUUACGCUAAUACCGCAUACGACCUACGGGUGAAAGCAGGGGAUCUUCGGACCUUGCGCGAUUGAAUGAGCCGAUGUCGGAUUAGCUAGUUGGCGGGGUAAAGGCCCACCAAGGCGACGAUCCGUAGCUGGUAUGAGAGGAUGAUCAGCCACACUGGAAGUGAGACACGGUCCAGAGUCCUACGGGAGGGAGCAGUGGGGAAUAUUGGAGAAUGGGCGCAAGCCUGAGCCAGCCAUACCGAGUGGGUGAAGAAGGCCUUCGGGUUGUAAAGCCCUUUUGUUGGGAAAGAAAAGCAGCAGGUUAAUACACCGCUGUAAUGACGGUACCCAAAGAAUAAGCACCGGCUAACUUCGUG
rnacentral:rRNA from 1 species